rnacentral:lncRNA from 1 species
CGUAGAGAAUCACUCCUUCCUCAAAGAUCUCGAUGCAUGGCCACAAUCUCGACCGACUAUCCUCAAGACUUUUCGAUGCACCAUCAUUGAGAUCGUGCCAAAUCAGUCGUAUCCACAUGAUCAUGACUCGGGCCAACCAACGACCGACACGUGGAUGACUCAAGUACCUCAACCCAUUAUUACUCUGUCGCCUGAUCUUUUGGCAUCAUUAUAGAGGAUCGCUUGAGCACCACGGUAUUAUUGCUGCACAACCUGUGAUGUGACAGAGCCGUUGCACGCUCUGUGAAGCAGCAAAACAGUGGUUCACUCCACGAAGCGACAAAAUGGCCGAGCGCAGUCUUUGGAACGGCAUUAGAUCGAUGAAGAGAUGUCAAGAAAAGCGACUUGGAUCUACACGGUGACUAACUCCCCUCGCUCGAUUAAAGCUACACGAUCGAACUUAAAAGUUGGGAGGCAGGUAUUGGGGUAAAUCUGAAGCGAAAAUUUAGUGCAGGGGCAAAAUGGUAAUUUUAAAACUUUUUCAAAAUUACUAUUUUACAGCAGAAUUAUUAAUUAAUCUUAUUAAUUAAUACUAAUUAACCCUACACUAGGAUCUAAAUAUGAUACAACAGCAUGCAUUUAAAUUUGAAAUUCAAAUUUGAAUCAGUAAACGUUUUACAGUACUGUGUUCAGAACACAUCACCUUUUGCGGAUAGUCGAUCACCGCAAUCUGAUCACCGUCGGAGGGCUCUGAUCAUCACGUCACAGCCACCCAACUGUCUGGCCUCUGCGGAUCGUCCACACGAAGCUCCCGUCUGAUCAGCUCACGAAUGCUAGUUCGUGAUUUCACCCUUUUGAUGGCAGAUGUUGAUCGAACUCCUUCGAUCGAUGUGUGCCGACUUCUCGGAUGCUCCGGAUCGUCUGCACAGUUACUUAAGAGGCUGAUGGAUCUCUUUCUAAAAUUUGGUGGACUCACGACACUCGUGGCACACCAAUCUCACUUCCCGAACCCUAGGUAGAAACCCUAGGGUACACACCAAAAACCCUGCGCCUAAUUUUCUCUCUUUUCUUUCUUUUUCUCUCGGAAGGUUUUGGACCUUCACCUUGUGCAGAAGCCUUCCUCACACCCCAA